CCCACCCAAAGCUCGAGAAGGGGCGGUGCUAGGGGUGGUGACCGGAAGCGCCUGCAGUUUUCGGCCGCGGUUUGAUAGUUGUUGUGAAGAGGAUCCCGGUGCUCUGUGUCCUAGCGGCGUGAAGAGAAAGGAGAGAUUAAGUCUUCACUGUGAUAAGGAUUUUAUUCAUUUCUUCUUCCGCUGUCCAUGAUCCAGUUUGAAUUGUUUUGUAUGAAGUGGUUUCUUGGAAUCUCUGCUUAGCCCUUGGGACAGACCCUGUGGUGAAGGCUGCAAGAUCUUCCAUUUCCAGCAUCAGCAGCUGUGGUUAAGUCCACAGGUGCCCACCUGACCUCGGGUUCCUGGGAAGGGCAGAGUUGUCAGCAAGAGAACCUGGGGGUAAAGCCCAGCAGGAAGAUGCCAGGCAAUCGGAGUGCUGCUGGGCCGUCCCUGACCCUGACUACAGGGGGACGUGACAACUCCUGUGAGAUCAGAAUUGCCUCGAUAAUCAAUGGCGCGGGACAAGACCGGCCACAUCAGACUCUUAUAUGGACUAUGAGGGCUACUCCAUUUCUUCUAAGGGAUUCUUGCCCACAGUGUUAGAUAUAAUGGUCAUCUGAGUUAAUUCACCCAUUCCAGUCUAUUUUAGUUCACUGAUUCCUAAAGUGAUUCCUAUAUUAACAGUAUAUUGGUUAUAAAAAUGGUGAUACAUGCAAAAACUGAAUAUUAUGCCACUGCUCAAAUUGUAUAUAAAAAAAUUUGCCGACAUGGAGAAAUGUGUAAGUUAGUGUAAAGAGCAAAAAAUGAAGGUAAACAAUUCUAGUUUUCAUGAAAA